CCCAGGUGUUGCGCACACGGCGCUGGUCUAACGGGCACUGCAGCAGACAGAUGAUGGUGGGGUAGGAAUGCAGUUACAGAAAGGAUGGAAAACAAUAUGAAACAAAUCGAAUUCCAUUUACGCAUUGAUGUAAGUGUAGAUUACAGCCACUUGCACAACCGCAUGACAGCCCGUUAGGCAUCUCUUUGUUUACGGGGUAUUCGAGGAGGCGCCAGCCCCUGAAGCAAUCAAGAAGUAAAACUUCUUUAUGAUUAACCGCAUUUAUCGAGGCGUAACGUGAUUUAACUGCAUUUUAAAGCAAAUGAUCUGGUUCGGCGCUCCCAAAGCGCGUGUGUGUGUGUGUGUGUGUGUGUGUGGACGUAGAAACAAUCUGUAAUUGUUAUCAGCUCGCAUGGAUUUCGUCGUGAGCGUGUUUGGGUCCGUCUGCCUGAAGUUUUGUCUAUUUGGAAAACAAAUUCAAUUUCAGCAAAAUGUGCAAGAACGAAACAGAUCGACGUCAUGUGAUGCUCUGCAAGAAUGUUCUCUAUUAAACAGAUGGCUGACCCCGGUUAAUAACAAUCAUCAUUAGCGUAUCAGACAAACAAACGUCGAAGAGCUGAUGUUAGAAGACAAAAAUACCCUGUACUCUGUACUCUGUAUCUCGAAUUGCUGUAAGUUGUGCAAAUUGGUAUAGAAAAAAUAAAACGUGUGUUUCGCUCACG